UACGUAGGGGGCAAGCGUUGUCCGGAAUUAUUGGGCGUAAAGAGCGUGUAGGCGGUCCGGUAAGUCAGCUGUGAAAGUCAAGGGCUCAACCCUUGAAUGCCGGUUGAUACUGUCGGGCUAGAGUCCGGAAGAGGCGAGUGGAAUUCCCGGUGUAGCGGUGAAAUGCGCAGAUAUCAGGAAGAACACCAAUGGCGAAGGCAGCUCUCUGGGACGGUACUGACGCUGAGGAGCGAAAGCGUGGGGAGCGAACAGG
rnacentral:rRNA from 1 species